rnacentral:rRNA from 1 species
GAAACGGCUACCACAUCCAAGGAUGGCAGCAGGCGCGCAAAUUACCCAAUCCCGACACGGGGAGGUAGUGACAAUAAAUAACAAUACGGGGUUCUUUCGGAUUUCGUAAUUGGAAUGAGUACAAUUUAAAUCUCUUAACGAGGAACAAUUGGAGGGCAAGUCUGGUGCCAGCAGCCGCGGUAAUUCCAGCUCCAAUAGCGUAUAUUAAAGUUGUUGCAGUUAAAAAGCUCGUAGUUGAAUUUCGGGAUCAGCAAGUUGGUCGUGCCACUGGUAUGUACUGGCUUUGCUGAUUCCUCCUUCUUGUAGAACCGUAAUGCCAUUAAUUUGGUGUUGCGGGGAAACAGGACUGUUACUUUGAAAAAAUUAGAGUGUUUAAAGCAAGCUAACGCUUGAAUACAUUAGCAUGGAAUAAUGAAAUAGGACGAGCGAUCCUAUUUUGUUGGUUUCUAGGAUUGACGUAAUGAUUAAUAGGGAUAGUUGGGGGCAUUAGUAUUCAAUUGUCAGAGGUGAAAUUCUUGGAUUUAUUGAAGACUAACUACUGCGAAAGCAUUUGCCAAGGAU